AAGGCUUGACAUAUACCGGAAACACCUAUCUCUAGGUGUUUCCGGUAUAUGUCAAGCCUUGGUAAGGUUCUUCGCGUUGCGUCGAAUUAAGCCACAUGCUCCGCUGCUUGUGCGGGCCCCCGUCAAUUCCUUUGAGUUUUAGCCUUGCGGCCGUACUCCCCAGGCGGGGAACUUAAUGCGUUAGCUGCGGCACCGACGACGUGGAAUGUCGCCAACACCUAGUUCCCAACGUUUACGGCGUGGACUAC
rnacentral:misc_RNA from 1 species